rnacentral:lncRNA from 1 species
UGACUCUGACUAUUACAAGACAUAAAGUGGGCAUCCCCACUUGACCAUGCUAGCUAAUAAUACAAACUAUGAGAACUGUAGAUUAUCUUUACGUAUCCAAGUUGUGCAGGGCUAUGGAGUCGAAGCUCAUGCCUGAGUCGUCGUCUUCAUAUGGAUCCUGGGCAUCCUGGAAUUGUGCAAUAUUAUCUUCUUCGUCUGAUCUAGCACAAUUAUUAUCUGUAGUAUUUAUCUCCGGCACAGCGCUGUCUAGAUUAGU